GUCUAAACUCGUAGAUCCUCAAGAAGAAGACUAGUACAUAUAACACGAGGCGAACGCGGGCAAGUCCUUUCUGUUAUGAAGCAGUAAAGAACGUGUGCGUGUUGAGAAAAAAAUACGGCUGUUUGCUGGUGUUUUCCGAGGACUUCACAAAUUUAUGAUUCCGAUGAAGGAGAUUUGGACCGCUUUAUCCUUAAUCUUCAUAUUCAGACUUGUUUUCUUUGAACUGCUGUGUGUCCUAUGAAUUUCAUGUUUGUAUGUUGAGUGUAUUAUUGUAACUCAAGUCCUAUUAAAAGGUCUUUAUUC